GUGCACAUGGGAGACUCCAGGUGCAGGAGAGGGGGAGGUGGACUUCCUCUUGGUCUUCCCAAGCCAUGAAACUUCCUGGCUUGGUGGUAACAGAAGAGUCUCCUCCAGUUCCCUUGAAGAAUCCACCUUCCUGCAGGGUUGGGGGAGCGCAGAAUGGGAGGAAGAUACAAAUACCAAUUUUAUAGCAAGAAUGCAAAAAGAGGCCAGCGCGGUGGCUCGAGCCUGGAAUCCCAGCACUUUGGAAGGCGAGCUGGGCGGAUCACUUGAGAUGUGACCAGGUGACCCCCCUCUGGCCAGGGAACAAUGGGCCGAAGUCCUCAGGGGAUUUGUGGGGAAGCGCGCCCCCUCCUCCUUGGGGUUUUCUUGCGGAGCUGCUGUGAAGACUCAGCUCAGCUGUGAUAAUUACCUGAGGUCAGCUUCUCCAGAAUGCCCUUAUCUCCUAAGGCCUUUGAGAUAAGCAGGAAUUGUGGUGUCUGCCUUGCCUCCAAACCUUUAUCCUUGCUUAUCUCAGUGGAAAAUUCCAGCAGGGAUUUCUGAACACCAAGUUAAAUUCCUCCACUCAACAAUCAGUUUGGCACGUGGCUGCCCGCCAGUCUGGGCAGAACAGAGGGGAGCCAAGGGAAUAAACCCAAGUCCUGCCCCCAGGUGCCCAGAGCCUGGCGGGGAUGGGACAGUUGCCUGCAGAGCAAGAGGCUGCCACCCAGUUUCACACAGGCCAGAGAGGCUGACCUACCUGCCCAGAGGCAGGGGAAGAAUCCAGAGGACCUCUCCCGGAGGAGGCACGAGAAGCCCACGUGGCAGCCAAGAAGAGGGAGAGCAUCCUGGGCCCCGGAAGCACAAUGCCAGGGGCAGACAUGCACUGGGAGGCACGGGGCCAGGGACACCUUCAGUGAGCACAGGGUCUGGGUAGGCUUCGGGAGGGGUGAGGGCGGAGAGGCAGCCAAGCCGGGUUGUGGGAGGCCCUGCCUAAUUCUGUAAAGACUAGGAUUAGAAACAUGACAAAAAUGGGUUAGGCACGGUGGCUCACACCUGUUAUCCACUUUGGGAGGCUGAGGCUGGUGGAUCAUCUGAGGCUGGGAGUUCAAGACCAACCUGGCCAACAUGGUGAAACCCCGUCUCUACUAAAAAUACAAAAAUUAGCCGGGCGUGGUGGCGCACACCUAUUAAUCCCAGGUACUAAGGAGGUUGAGGCAGGAGAAUUGCUUCAACCCAGGAGGCAGAGGUUGCAGUGAGCCCAGACCAUGCCACUGCACUCCAGCCUGGGCAACAGAACAAGUCUCUGUCUGAAAAAUAAAAUAAAAUAACAAAAAUGAA
rnacentral:lncRNA from 1 species